UAUGAGCUGUUAAUAUAUGAAAUAAAAGUGUAAUUAAAUCAAAAACAUAAAAUAGACAUAUAAUAACUAUAAUACUUAAAAAAAUUAGUUACUACUUAAGUCCAACGACCCCUCAUGCCCUACGUUGAGCCACCGCUACAUGACGGUGAACGACAAUCAGCAUCACUCUAUAAAUAGUUCAUAACACUAUUCAUCGGUACGCACAAUUUCCCCUAACGUUACCUUGCCAAGUUAUACAUGAUAGAGGAUAACUGAGAACAUUGAUGUGACGUCAGAGGACUGUCGACGUGAUGAUGGAGUAUGGCAAAGCACCUUAUGCAAGAUGACGGACGAACCACUCAACCCUUCAACGGAGCUAAGUUUACAGCCGCAGCAGUUUGCUUACAUUUCGCGGCGGUUUUAAUAACUAAACACAAAAACUCUCUUUUACACCGGGAAUUCUUCCGUGCACUCCCAAAUCGCCGAAACCCUCCUCAACCACUGAGGAAGAGGCUAAGAAGCUGAAAUUCGUUCAGGCACACAAGAGGUAAUUAAGAUUCAAGUGACCUGAGUAUUGUAGCAGCCAAUGGUUUUGAUAGUGAUGAUGCUAGUGCGAGUUGGCACCAUUCCUAAAGCUCCUUCUUUUGGUGGUGAGUGCUAAGAAACAUACAUUUUGGUGGUGAAAAAAAAAAAGUGUUUUAGAAAGAGCGUCAAAGUGAGUGUCGUGGUCCUCCUCUUUUUUAUAGUCCAACCAACAUCAUUUGUUAUGCAAACUUUUUCUUUAUGAUUUAAUUUAUAUGCACUAACGGUAUAUAGCUAAGGUCCCUCAUCCCCAAUAUGCUUGAGAGGAAGAGGACCCAGAUUAACUGUCUUUACCAACUCUUGCUUAUUAUAAUUUAUAAGAACCAAGGGAUCAAUUUUAGGUUUAUAAACUUUAUAGUCUGCAUAAUGUGUUUAGAGCCAAACAAUCAGCAAAUGAGUGGUAUGUACGAGCAUUCACAUGCAUAUUAAAUAUAACUAGACUACUACCCGCGCGUUGCGCGGGUGAAUCAAACCGAGUCAAUAAGUAGUGAUUUUAUUGUUAAAAUCUUUCUUAUAAU